AUUUCCUUUGGACCGGAUCCGCAUGAAAGCCUUUAGAUCCGUCUGUAGCGGACAUACGGUAUCUGACUGUGGGCCAGAUCUGCACCUGAUAAGAUUUCAGCUCUGCUAGCAAAGCUGUUUUUUCAUCGAUUUACAGAUUUGUUCCAGGUCCGGUUUCCGCAACUCAACCGGAAGUCAGGAGAUGCGUUUAAAAUACAAAACACUAAUUUGGCCCAAACCUGUGAUACGGAUAUGGGCAGAAGGAGCAGGUGGUAAUUGAACAGAGAAGUCAACUAGCUGGCUGCUGUAGAAUAAAAGUAUUUUGUAAUGGCACAAAUUUAGAAACAUGAGGGUGCACUAUGUGCCCAUGGCCACUUCAUUUCUACACUAAAUUUAAGCUAAUUGGCUCAGUAUAUGUGCCAGUUAGACUUUUCAGUGCUGUUUUUCUACAGUCAGCAGAUUUGGGCCAGAUCCACUUACCACAUCAGAACCAAAGCUUCCAGAAAGACAGUUCCCUGAUGUGGCCCACAUCUGUAAUAUUGACCCAAACCACCUCCAAACUUGUGUGUUCCACUCUGGUUUACUGAACAGAGCCGAACGCGCGAAGUGAGUGAGGUCCGUCCGUUUGAGAGACGUUAUGCUGAUCUGGCCCUCAUCCGUACCACGGAUUAUAGCCAGAAACCGUUGGAAUAGAUCAAAUGAAACUUUUGUGGGGGUGCCCAUGCCAUAUUUCGUUAUUAAAUCCUGAUUUGUUAAAUCUUACAAUGGAACACUUGCACGUAGCCUACACAAAAAUGAUAAAUUCACUAACAAAGUAAUAGGCUUGUCUCAAAAUGGAAGAUUUACCACAUAACAAAAUAAUACAUUAGCAACUGUCCACUAUCCAAGUGCAAUGGUCCAAGCUGUAUUGCCAUCCUGGGAAGAAAAAAAGUUGCGAACAUCGUGGGAAAAAACGGCACUGGCGCACAUAAUGGAUGGCAACAUGGGUGCAUUUAUAGUCCAUCAUGACAUAAAAAAUCCUCUGCAUGCAACCACGAGGAGAGGGGGAAUUUACUAAGGAGUUUUGUCUAUAUAUUAUAUAAAAUCUACUGUUGGGAAGAGCAGAACCUAAUCCAAAUAAAAAUAAACAAGCUGUUAAAAGCCAGUUGAAGGUGGUCAACACAAACCAAAUGAAGAUGUUGCACAUUCCACAAACAAUAAAAAAGAAGAUCAAGUUUUGUGUCCAACACACUUGGAUGAGACGUGCCCGACCCCUGACUUUGUCUACCCUACAUUAAGUUGUGAUGGCACACUUCAUGACAGUAAACAUCGGUAUCAAGAUGAUGUGAUUGAUCUAUACCCUAGAAUAAGCUGUGACACUAUGAGACGGUGACAUAAUGAACAGCCAUCUUCCAGACAACCGAAACAGUAUUGUCUACAAUACCAAAUUCUGGAUUGACGCCCCAGUACCAGAAGGCACUCCAAUCCCAGAG